GACGAACGCUGGCGGCGUGCUUAACACAUGCAAGUCGAACGGAAAGGCCCUGCUUUUGUGGGGUGCUCGAGUGGCGAACGGGUGAGUAACACGUGAGUAACCUGCCCUUGACUUUGGGAUAACUUCAGGAAACUGGGGCUAAUACCGGAUAGAAGCUCCUGCUGCAUGGUGGGGGUUGGAAAGUUUCGGCGGUUGGGGAUGGACUCGCGGCUUAUCAGCUUGUUGGUGGGGUAGUGGCUUACCAAGGCUUUGACGGGUAGCCGGCCUGAGAGGGUGACCGGCCACAUUGGGACUGAGAUACGGCCCAGACUCCUACGGGAGGCAGCAGUGGGGAAUAUUGCGCAAUGGGCGGAAGCCUGAUGCAGCAACGCCGCGUGCGGGAUGACGGCCUUCGGGUUGUAAACCGCUUUCGCCUGUGACGAAGCGUGAGUGACGGUAAUGGGUAAAGAAGCACCGGCUAACUACGUG
rnacentral:rRNA from 1 species